GCCUUUAAGGAAGGCAGGGAAUUGUAAUUAUAGCCCAAAGAGAGCUGGGCGGGCUGGCUCUGGAUCACACAGCAUGGAGUCACUGACUAGCCUAGGCAGCACUAUGUACAUAUACAAGAAAGGAGGUGCUGAGGAGUUUCAGGGGUACAGGCUGCUGGCCCAGCCACUAUGGGGCUUUCUAUUUGUCCCAUGUCCACCCCCGGGGCUGGACUAUUUUAUGUUUUGAGUGGUGAAAUACUUUCAGGUCCCUCUGCAUAAGCCUAUGAGUGUUACACAGGUCUUAGGCAGCCUGUUCCAUCUAAGGUUACCUUGUCAUCUUGCUCAGCUACAACGCUGGCUGCCCUCUGUGUCCUUCUCAGACUGACACUCCAUGAGGGGGAAAGAGUGGAAUCCUCUCAGAGGAACCCCCUGCAAACAUGCUGACUGGGCCUGCUGGCUACAAGACACUUGAGUGUUUGUCCUCGCGGGUUAUUUUGCAGGAACUUAGGAGUCUGAAGCAGGAUCAUCAUCAAUAGGCUGGCCAGUGUGCAGCCUUAGGAGACACUGGGAGCCAAGGACGUGGCUGUAAGCCUGUGUCCCUUUAGGGGCAGAGCUACAGUGAGAAUCCAGAGAUUUACCCUCUUGGGCCUUCUGAGGAUCUCUGUGGCUUGCUGCACCUCUCCUUUGGGUUUCAGUGGUCUUUGCUUAGGAAAGACCCUACUUGGGCAGGUGCCCUCAAUCUAGAAGCUGCUCCAAGUCCAAGUCCCCCACUAUUUCACCCUGAUCCUUUAGGCACCCUAGAGGGGGCUGGUCUCCACUGUCAGCAGGCCAGGCUCCCAUUGCUCCAGACAUUGAGGCACUCUCACCCUCCCAGUCCCUUGUCCCCGAAUGGCACUACCCAGGAGUCGGAGGAAGUUGAAAGCACUUGAAAGUCCCGACUUCACUUGUCUGCUGGGGGCUGAGCACUGACUUGACUUCCUCUCAAGGCCCUGGGUUCUUAGACACCGAGAUUUCUAAAAGGUGGGGUGUCAGCAAGACUGGCAUCUAGGGCAAGGGAAUCCUUGGGCAGCCUUGUGUGAGAGGGCACCCCCUCCUCCCCCAGACUGUCUAAUGAUGGCCCAGGCUGAGCUCAGCAACCUUCAGAAAAGGCAGCACCUCCAACCCUGUGCUCUUAGGAGGCCUGGGCAAGAGCCCAGAUGAGGACGCCAGGGCGCGUGGCUCUGGGGAAGGCUGAGCUGGGCACUUCCUGCUGAUGGGUGCCAGGGCUCUACUCCCCUGGAGGGGUGGGUAAUUCUUUAGUCUUAGUCAGAGGAAGUGAGGCAGGGUAAAUGGGCAAUGCCGUGUAGUGCCGCCAGGCCUGCGGGGACUAUGGCGGCAGAGACUGUGGAGGCAGCCCAGCCGGGCAGGCUCCCACACCCACACAUGCCUUGUUUGACCUUCAUAUCCAUGCUGUUGCCCAGCAGCUACCCUGAGCCCAGCCCCUGUUCCAGCUCCCUCCUUAACUAUGCCCCUUACCUGUCAGAGAGGUUAGAUAUCACAGUACGCAUGUUUAUUCUUAGGCCUUAUUUUUAUUUUUUUAAAAUAAAUAUGUGUAGCUGGACAGUGGUGGCUUUAAUAAGCCUUUAAUCUCAGUACUCUGGAGGCAGAGGCAGGUGAAUCUCUUAAGCCUGAGGCCAACCUGGUCUACAGAGCAAGUUUUAGGACAGCUGGAGCUGUACAGAGAAACCCUGCCUCAAAAAAAAAAAAUUACAUGUGUACACAGUGGGAAACACACACACACACACACACACACACACACACACACACACACGCCCGAGGUGGCUGGCAUUGCACUUCCCUGAAGCUGGAGUUACAAGGGGCUGUAAGCUGUCGCUAUGGAUGCUGGGAACCAAACUCCAGCGCAGUGUGUGCUCUUGACUGCUGAGGCGCUCCAACCCUGUUCGUGUGGGGUUCAGACCGCACUGCCUCAGAGCCUCAGGCCGAAGCCUCGGAGCUUUACCUGUGAAGUCGGCAUGUUGGCGAAACACAUAAGUCCCUAGUUCACCCAUCCCCAAUACAGGGAGGCCACACUGAAAGUGUGUCCCACUCUCAGGGUCCUGAGUCUGUGCCCACGCUGAGCAGAAUGGCAGAAUGCUCCUGUUGGGACAGGCUGUCUGAGUGGCUUACACUCGGUGCUCGUGAACAGCUGGGAUCCCCAGACCCAUGGCCUUGACCUUCUGGGUCUCUGAAACCAUGGUACUUUCUAAUACUAUUGUGGUCUUCAGGCCCAAAGGUGCAUGGGACCACAACCUGCCCUGUGUCCCACAGUGCCUGCUUCUUUGUGGGGACGCUGGGCUCUAGAUGGCAGGAUUCCAAUAUUGAUCGCAGGAGGCGUGUGUCUCUUCACUGAAAGCAAGGUAAGGCCUCCUAUAUUUUUCCUCUUAGCCAAGCCCAGCUCAAGCCAACCUCUUGGGUCUCUGUGCAGUCAGGUAUCCCAUGGUGGGCUGAGGCUAACUCUGAAAUGAGUAACUCUGGCCAGCCCCGGACUAGCUCACAUGAUGGAAGGCCAGUAGCCCUGGAAGGCCAGGCUGGGGCAAGGACUCAGACAAGUGUCUCCUUUCUGUACCUUUGGGACAGGUCCCCUUCCAAAGGCUGUGCUCCACCUUGGUGACCAGGGCAGACUGGGGACAGAAGACACAGGUAGAAGAUGGUACAUCUUCAAGUAUGGUCAACUUGAAUGGAGCCUGGUAGUGCACUGCCGUACCCUCUUUCCACACGGGAAGACUGAGGCUGGGAAGCUGGGCUAGCAUUCUCACAGUAAGUCAGAAAAAGGAAGACAAGGAUCAAGAGGGUCUCUGGGACCCAUGAGGUUGGACCAGACAGAGUCCUGGGCCUGGCUGGGUGGGGGGCAGCAGAGCUCUGUCGCGCAGGCUGUUGAUCCAAUCCAACAAUGAUGAAAUGGCCCCUUUGUCCUGCGGCGCCAAAGUUGCUGUGACUGGAGGAGGCGUGACGUGAAAGGGUCAUUGUUCCCACUUGGGCAGCCACUCAGGGAGCUGGAGGACCAGCCCAGGGCAGGCUUCUUGCCAAGGCUGUAGCCCUUGCCUGCUGCCUGUGGCUGCUCGGGAUGUCCUGGGCUUUCUGCCUCUGACCCAUGGCCAAUCCCUCUUCCUCUUGAGCCAGGCUAGACACAGGUGUCCCUCUGCGACCCUGGAACCAGAAUUCUGCAUUUCCUGAAUGCUUAUCCUUGGGGGCUGGGCAUGUCACUUCCCUAGCUGGUGCAUCUCAGCGCCACGAGAGCGAGCGCAGAGGUGAAGAAGGUGCUUUGUCCUGGGUCAAGGAAACAUACUGGGUGACAUUCAUAUCCCAAGGCUGUGGCCUCAGGGGCACCUCCUCCCCACCCACCACCCCCAUGGCUCCUUGCCGAUGAGGAAAGAGAACCAGAGGAAGAACUUGGGUGUCCCUAGGCAACGCAGUGGGAGUUUAUCUGAUGCUAUUCUCAGACCGGAUGGGUGUCCUUGCUGCAUGGGUGCCUGAAGCCCCUCUGCGCCAGGUCCCACCCUUCUCCUGUUUCUCCAAGCCCCGCCCCUGGACUCUUUAAAACCUAAACCUGAUCAGGUGCUGCCUCUGCUGCAAACCUGCUGCAGCCUGCCCCCCCCCCAGCCCAGAUUUAUGUUCAGGUGCAGGCAUUCAAAGCCUCCCCCGAAGGUGUAGAAGCAGCAGCAGGGACAGGAUUGCCUGGAUCCCCCCAGCCCUGUGUGGGCUUUAUCCUGCCAGAUGCAGCCCUCUGCUCCUGGAUUUUCUGCUUCUCUCUUCCUCGGGGCUAACUAACCCCUAGUCUCUAGCUCACAGUGUGUAUGCUCAGGAUUGAGCUCAGGGUCCAGGACAAAGCUAAAGGCCUCUUCUCCCCCCCCACCCCCCCACUCUCCUACCCCCCUAGGUGGACCAGCUGGCUCCAGAGCCCAGAACUACUCUACACACCUCUCCAGCCCUCCCCUCUCCUCUGCCUCCCCAACCAUCAAGCCUGAAGCUUCAGGCUGGGCCUGACCCUAGCUAAUGAACCCCUCCCCCAGUCCCAACUAGGCUUUGGCUCAGCUCUAGACUUCUUUCCCUGGAGGAAUGUAGCUAAUUAACCGAGAGGGUUUAAUUAAUCAAUUAGCGUGGCUUCCAGACCCCUCCACUUAGCUGAGGCAAUGGCAGAUCUUUUUGAACAAGAGUGACCAGAACCUUCUCUGGCUGGAGCCUAGCCAAGGGCAGGGGAGCAAUCAGGGUGGGGGGGAGACAGGGAGCAGCACCGUGUGAAAGGGGACAACCCUCUAGGGACCUAGGCAAUACCUCACGAGUGUAGUUCACACAGACAGACGGAUACAGAACUAACUCAUCCUGUUCCCAAGGUGGCCUAGGGGAUGGCCAGCUGAGCCUGGCCCAGGGUUGAUUCUGCAUAGGGGCCCAUGGAAACCAGAAGAGACAUCAGACCCCCAACUUGGAGAAUAUGCUUAGGGAAGGGCUUCGUAGAGGUGGAAGUAUUGGAGGUGGGCUCAGAGGAAACCUAGGUAAGAGGUAGCUAGUUGAAAGGGACAGUAAGUGGUUCUAUAUUCUGGAAAGAGAAAGCCACCCAUGUGCGCCGCACACACACACACGCGCACACACACACACACACACACACACACACACGCACGCACGGACCCCAAGGACUGGAGGCAGGAUGUUCAGAGGGCACGGUUCACUGGAAGAUGUUACCCCCUCUGGGAAGCUUCCCAAGGUAGCACUGGCUCCACACUUUCAAGCUCCCCUCACUGUUGCUGACCGGCCCCUUCCCAGUAACCCACGGGCGCACUGGCAGGGCCUCCACGGCCUACUUCAGCUGCUUCUAGUGAUUGUUAUAGCUUCGGAGGGGAAUGAAGACCAAAAGCCCCUUUAGGAGCCUGUGAGAUGGGUGAGUGUGCUUGCUGCCAAGCCUGACAACUGGAGUUCUACCCCAGGACCC
rnacentral:lncRNA from 1 species